UGGCGAACGGGUGAGUAACACGUGGGGAAUCUGCCUAUAAGUGGGGGAUAACAUUCGGAAACGGAUGCUAAUACCGCAUAUAUUCAAAAACCGCAUGGUUUCUGAAAGAAAGACGGCUUUGCUGUCGCUUAUAGAUGAUCCCGCGGCGUAUUAGUUAGUUGGUGGGGUAAUGGCCUACCAAGACCAUGAUACGUAGCCGACCUGAGAGGGUGAUCGGCCACACUGGGACUGAGACACGGCCCAGACUCCUACGGGAGGCAGCAGUAGGGAAUCUUCCACAAUGGGCGCAAACCUGAUGGAGCAAUGCCGCGUGAAUGAAGAAGGUCUUCGGAUCGUAAAGUUCUGUUAUUAGAGAAGAACAAGUCAAGGAGUAACUGUCUUGACUUUGACGGUACCUAACCAGAAAGUCACGGCUAACUACGUGCCAGCAGCCGCGGUAAUACGUAGGUGACAAGCGUUGUCCGGAAUUAUUGGGCGUA
rnacentral:rRNA from 1 species